rnacentral:rRNA from 1 species
GACGUAGGGGGCCAGCGUUGCUCGGAAUUACUGGGCGUAAAGGGUCCGUAGGCGGUGCGGUAAGUCGGGAGUGAAAUCUCUGGGCUUAACUCAGAGGCUGCUUCCGAAACUGCCGUGCUAGAGUGCGAGAGAGGCAAGUGGAAUUGCGGGUGUAGCGGUGAAAUGCGUAGAUAUCCGCAGGAACAUCCGAGGCGAAAGCGGCUUGCUGGAUCGCAACUGACGCUGAGGGACGAAAGCCAAGGGAGCGAACAGG